rnacentral:rRNA from 1 species
AUUGAACGCUGGCGGCAGGCUUAACACAUGCAAGUCGAGCGGGGUGAUGGUGCUUGCACUAUCACUUAGCGGCGGACGGGUGAGUAAUGCUUAGGAAUCUGCCUAUUAGUGGGGGACAACAUCUCGAAAGGGAUGCUAAUACCGCAUACGUCCUACGGGAGAAAGCAGGGGAUCACUUGUGACCUUGCGCUAAUAGAUGAGCCUAAGUCGGAUUAGCUAGUUGGUGGGGUAAAGGCCUACCAAGGCGACGAUCUGUAGCGGGUCUGAGAGGAUGAUCCGCCACACUGGGACUGAGACACGGCCCAGACUCCUACGGGAGGCAGCAGUGGGGAAUAUUGGACAAUGGGGGGAACCCUGAUCCAGCCAUGCCGGGUGUGUGAAGAAGGCCCUAUGGUUGUAAAGCACUUUAAGCGAGGAGGAGGCUCUCUUGGUUAAUACCCAAGAUGAGUGGACGUUACUCGCAGAAUAAGCACCGGCUAACUCUGUGCCAGCCGCCGCCGUAA